CUCUGAGCACCUUCAGCACCUCUGGUUGCUCACCAAAUCUCUAUCAUUUAAGGUUGUUUUUAAUCAGAAAUAUGUUUCAUCCCAUCAGUAGAUGCAGGCAAGACAAUGCUCAGAGCCAUCAGUAAGAUGCAAGUGAGCUGACAGUCGGACUCUUGUACAAGAUUUCCAUGCCUUACAAGAAAUGUCUGCCGAAUGCCUGACACUGAAAUGAUAUAAGACCUGCAUUAGAUCAACUUCACCUGAGUGUAACAUGCUGUCCUGGGAGGGUGAGUGCUCAAUGAGAGGGAAGAUGGACUCGAGCUCAGAAUGCUGAACUAAUGCAUAUCAAACUUUCCUUCACAUAAACUCAUUGAAAUGGUAUUCGUGCUUGAAGAGACUGAAUAUGCAAAUAUCAUUGGAAAAAGAGAGAGAGAAGAAACACUGAAGACAACUGUGAGAUACUAAGAGCAAGUUAAAGAGACAAAAGAGUGCAAACGACAAGCAGAAUUUGAAAUGUUAAAGGUGGAGGCAGUAAUCAGGAGUCAGAACGCUGCAUCUGCAGCAGUGCCCUCCAUGCUGGCCAAGGAAAGCUCUUGCAUCUCUUGAGGGAGCAACACCAGCUCCCAUCCAUGUCCUCACUGAAUUUGUCUUUGCAGAUGGAAAGCAAAAUUAACUUCUGCAUCCAGGAGAGAAAGUUAACAGGAUUCUGAAGGUCUUUGUGUGUAGUGCUAACAGUUAAAAAGAAGGAAAUGCAACCACAUUGCUCCUAGUCUGCUCAAGAGCCAGUUGCUGCUUCCUAAGGAGAUGGCUUUCCCAGCUCACUUUCAAUGCAUGUGAAGGGGAUGGAGGAAGUGAAGAGAAUGGCACAUAACUGCUCUUGUCUCUACUUCAGAAAUCUUCAGAAGUUUUCUGUGCUUUUUCAAGACUUUCUGAACAGCCAGUGAUUCCGAUACUGCACUUGGAAUUCACUUGUGAAAUUUUAAAGUGCUAGUUUUGAGCUAGUAACUGGUAGAAGUAAUACUUUGAGAAGUAAUUGAGCCACUGCUUUUUCAGGCUGUCCAGGGAGGUGGUGGAGUCACCGUCCCUGAGAUGUUCAAGAACCUUGGAGAUGUGGCACUGAGGGACAUGGUCAGUAGGAAUGUUGGAGAUGGGUUGAUGGUUGAACUUGGUGAUCUCAGAAGUCUUUUCCAACCUUGGUGAUUCUACAACUCUAAAAACGAGAGUCUGAAGUAUAUUGAAAACGUUAAGUCUUCUCAAGCACCCCUGAAGCUCCAUGUUUGUCAUAAAUGACGUAAUGAAUGAUGUAUGAGCUGCCCAUAGAAAACUGUGAUAUGUCGUAUUCAGCUCUGUCUUUUUUUGUACUGCGAGAGAAACCUCUGAGCGUGAUCGCUGGCCAGGAAAGUCAAAAGAAAAAUUCCUGUUGUGUAUUGGGACUAGAAGACAAUUUACUCUUCCAGUAAGGUCAGGUUCUCUCCUGUACCACCAGACGAAGUUGGUAUCAAAGAGGUUGCACAAGCCUUAAGCAGAAUAAAUAUUUCACUUAUAUAUAAGAGUGAAAAUAAAAUCUGUUGUCUCUUUCUGUAGGAAGUACUUUAUAUAUUAAAAUCUGUCAGCCUUUAUUAAGUCUGUUGGAUUUGACCCUUAAGCUAAAUCUUGAUGUCUUGCAUAAGGCAGCGAUAUACACAGAAGAUAGGUCAACAGGCCAAGUAAGAAUGUAGCCUGUGCAGCAAAUCAGCGGUGGGCAUUAGUUCUUCAAGGCACUGGAGGAUGCCAGGUAUUUUAUUUGCCUAACUUCUUCUCUUGCAGUAGAGGGAUAUGUGGUAAUUUGCCAUUUCUCCAACUACUGUUGUCCUGUCUAUAUGGUGUUGAUUCAAAUCCUUUAAUGCUCAGUAUCCUGGACUGCUAAAAAUAAAUAUAUUUUAAUAUCAUAGAAAAUAAGAUUAAACCUUUAGAUGAAAACUACUCUUCAACCUUUUUUUUCCUCCUAAACAACAUGCACUUUCAAACAGUAAAUUUGUUUGAAUAGAAAUUUCUCAACUUCUUACAUUCUUCUCAGAUUCUUUCACAGUAUCUGCUUGAAAAAUAUUUUUCCUUUAAUCUGCCUUGAAAUAAUAU